rnacentral:rRNA from 1 species
UACGUAGGGGGCAAGCGUUGUCCGGAUUUAUUGGGCGUAAAGAGCGUGUAGGCGGCCUGGUAGGUCAGCUGUGAAAACUCGAGGCUCAACCUCGAGACGCCGGUUGAAACCAUCAGGCUAGAGUCCGGAAGAGGAGAGUGGAAUUCCUGGUGUAGCGGUGAAAUGCGCAGAUAUCGGGAAGAACACCCGUGGCUAAGGCGGCUCUCUAGUACGGUACUGACGCUGAGACGCGAAAGCGUGGGGAGCGAACAGG